rnacentral:tRNA from 1 species
AUCUCUGUAGCUCAAUUGGUAGAGCAUUUCACUUCCAAUGAAAAUGUUAUGGGUUCAAGUCUCAUCAGAGAUA